GGGUGCAAGUUGACUUUUUGGCCAUCUUGUCACAUCACCCCCCCUUUAACCCUUACCUUGGAGCAGAGAGGAGAGAGAGAGGGGAGCUUCUUCAUGCUGCUGCUGCUGCUGUGCUUCUUCUUCCUCUCCUUCUACUUCCCUUAGCAACUUAGAGUGUUGGAGGAGCUCAAGAGAAGCUCGAGCUUCGUCGACGAAGCGCCGCGGAGCGGAUCGAGCGAGUUUUCGACGAGGUGACGCUGCGAGGAGGCCGUGCUACAGCCGAUCCUUGCCAUCCUCGACGAGGUGCUGCUCGCAGGGAGGAUUUGUCGAGGGGCAUCGGAACGUGACGCGACUUGAUUCGUUGGAACCGAGACUUCGAGGCGAAUCCAUAGGAUCCUUGCUCGCCCGAUUUGGAGAAGGAGUGUCGAAACGCAACGAAAUUUGGUGUGAUAGAUUCGCGACUUCGAGACGAAGAUUCUGAGCCCAAGAUCGUGAUUUUUGGAGCAGGUUUGCCCUGUCGAACCCUAGUUUUACUAGGCUGCUGUUUGCCGAGCAGAUUUCAGAGAUGCUGUUUCGCAGGUUCCAGCGUCGACGUUUCGUAUUCUGGCCCGUUCUCUGCGUAGGAGCGUCGGAAUUCAGCGAAACCUGGGCCAUUGGAUCCGUGACUUCGAGACGAAGCUUCAGAGCCCUUGUUUGCUGAAUUUGGAUGAGGUUAGCUUGGUCGGAUUUAACGCUUUCUUCGCUGCUGUUUUCUGGGCAGAUUUCGUGAUUUUGAGUGUAAUUGGGUUUACUUCUUCGCAGCAGGAGAACCGGGGACUUCGACGGACCAGCGAGGGAUCAAUUUGGAUCCGGGCCACUUUCUUCGCUGCCAGGAGUUGCUUGAGAGGGCCUUCUGUUUCGGCUGCUGCUCCUUCUGAGGCGGACCGCGGGAAAGACGUGGCGAGUUAGAGCCUACCCUUCGAGUACAGUGCUAGAGGACUCCCGCUGCAGGUAGUGACAGUUUUUGUUC